rnacentral:rRNA from 1 species
CGGACGGGUGAGUAACGCGUAAAGAAACUUGCCCUUUAGACUGGGAGUAACAGAGGGAAACUUCUGAUAAUACUGGAUAAGUUAGUAUAUCGCAUGAUAUGCAAAUGAAAGCUACGGCACUAAAGGAGAGCUUUGCGUCCUAUUAGCUAGUUGGUAAGGUAAGAGCUUACCAAGGCGAUGAUAGGUAGCCGGCCUGAGAGGGUGGACGGCCACAAGGGGACUGAGAUACGGCCCUUACUCCUACGGGAGGCAGCAGCC